ACAAGAUCAAGUUCAGAGCAAAAGCUUGGGCCACGAUUCAGAAGACCGUCAAAAUGUUCCUCGCGUGGAAAUAACACCAGCAAAGUUUCAGGUUUAAAAACCGACAAGAAUGUUCUGACCAAACAGAUUUCUGAUAUCGAAAAAGAAAUAUCGGCUGCUAUACAGAAAAUCAAGAACACGAUAAUGAGCCGUGAUCAGAUCGAGAAUCUCCACCGUAUUCUUG